UCAUUGUUUUUAAAAGGGUUUUCUGCAAAAUAACCCUUCAAGUCAAUCUCGUUUGCAAGUUUACCCUCCAAGUCCGAAUUAUGCAAGUCAAUCCCACAAUCUCAAAAGUCACCCGCAAUACAGCCCUCCCGUGUAUUGAUGAUGUGGCACUCGAUAACUCUUUUUGAAAACAUAAGGGCUUUGUGCAAAAAAAUCCUUAAU
rnacentral:sRNA from 1 species